rnacentral:snRNA from 1 species
GGGUGCACCGCCGACCGAC